rnacentral:rRNA from 1 species
AGUGAACGCUGGCGGUAGGCCUAACACAUGCAAGUCGAACGGCAGCACAGUAAGAGCUUGCUCUUACGGGUGGCGAGUGGCGGACGGGUGAGGAAUACAUCGGAAUCUACUUUUUCGUGGGGGAUAACGUAGGGAAACUUACGCUAAUACCGCAUACGACCUACGGGUGAAAGCAGGGGAUCUUCGGACCUUGCGCGAUUGAAUGAGCCGAUGUCGGAUUAGCUAGUUGGCGGGGUAAAGGCCCACCAAGGCGACGAUCCGUAGCUGGUCUGAGAGGAUGAUCAGCCACACUGGAACUGAGACACGGUCCAGACUCCUACGGGAGGCAGCAGUGGGGAAUAUUGGACAAUGGGCGCAAGCCUGAUCCAGCCAUACCGCGUGGGCGAAGAAGGCCUUCGGGUUGUAAAGCCCUUUUGUUGGGAAAGAAAAGCAGCAGGUUAAUACCCCGCUGUUCUGGCGGUACCCAAAGAAUAAGCACCGGCUAACUUCGUG